CAGAAUGUCAUAUUCGAGAGAGACAUGCAUGGAGUCAGAUAUGACUAAAUGGUUUUAAGGAACACGGGUCAACUUUAUGGAACAAAUAAAGCUUACGAUGUAUCUUGCUUACAGGAUUCCCAACAACCUUACCAGCAUGGUGUGCCAAGCAGUGCCAUGUCUGCACCCGGGAUCCGAACCGGCGAACCCAGGCCGCUGAGAAGCGGAAUGUGUGAACUUAACCGCUGCGCCACCGGGCCGGCCCCAUACUCCUGAAUUCUUGAGUAUUUGCUGACAGCUGUAGUCAACAAUUUUGUAGAGAAUGCUGUAGAAACAAAUAAACAGUUGUAUUUUCCACAUUAAACAGAUUUGAACUCAAGAUAAAAUUGACAUCUACUAUAGAAAAUGUAUACACAAACUAAAUUUUAGCCUUUUUGUAAAGACAGCAUGAAAAAUCUUGGUAAAUGUAUUAUAUUUGAUAUAAAUGAGUAAUAAUUCCAAUAUAGAAAGGUGUAGAAUAUGGUAACAAACAAAUAAGAAAACAGCAACAAAUUAGCAAAAGCAACAUGAGGUAGUGAGAAAAUCCUAAGAAAGUAGUCGGGGAGAGAGGAGUAUAAAGAAUAAAGUUUAAAGAAAAUCAAGGAGAGUGUGAAGAAAAAAAGAACCAAGACUGGAUCAUAGGGAAAACACUUAUUUUUAGAUUAUCAUUAUCUUAUGUUCAAAUUCACAUCGUUCAGUUCAAAUUCAGCUGGAAGAUUCUGCAGCUAGAGGUAGAUGAAAAUGUGUACUGAUCUGGGAUCAAUCAGGAAAACACCUCGUAGCCCACACCUGGUAGUUCAAUGGAAGAAAUUUAAUACAGCAAAAUAAUUGUAAAAGUAUUGGAAAAGCUGAAAAGUCAGAGGACAGUGAAACAACCCAGAGAUUAACAACAGCCAAGAGUGGGUAGCAUGCCUUGAACUGGAGAGGUAAAGGAAGUGAGAUAACAGAGGGCAAGAGCCAGCACAUCUUGUAAAAGCUGAAAUCAUGGAGGAGACACAGCCACUAUUGGCACUGCUGCCCAAAGCAAUAAGAGGGGAAGAAAUACCCUGGAUUGUCUCUUCUAGAAGAGUAGUUUGCAGGGAUCAGACUUCCAUGACACAAGGCAAAACAGGGAAAGAGUGGGGAGUGGAUCUCAGAGCAGAGAGGCAAAGGAACAGCUCAGAGACUAAAGAAAUGUGCCAAAACACAGAAGGAUCAGCAGUCCAAAAAAUAAGGACCUCCCGCUUUUGUGGGGGAAUCAACCCAAAGGAGAAACGAUGAGAGUACAGAACAGAACAAGGUGAAGAAGUCGGGGCACAAAAUCUGGAUGAGAUGUCUAAAUCAACAAAUUCUUGAACAAUAACCCAGCCUAGUAGAAGUGAGAGUGAGAUAACACCUACCAAAUGGGAAUAGAUAAGAGAAAUAGAACAAGAACCUUGAGAGCCUGGUGAGGAACUAACAUGAGAGACUAAAGAGAAACUGAAAAUACACUGAAGUUAGGUGUCUAUGAAUUGUAAUUUACAUUGGAUAUCUAUGCAUAGAUGGGUUUAUGUUUAUAUUUAAUAGUAUCAUUCGUUAUACUGGAUUAUGUAAUGUAGCCUAAUGUAAAAUAAAU
ensembl:lncRNA